ACAAACGAAAUAAUAAUCAAUAAUAAUAUAACUAAAGACUGGUAAAAAUAAAACUUCAAUAUUUUACCCGAUUUCUGGAUGUUUUUUUAUUGAUUGGCAAUACCACGCUUUACGUCAAAGCGUAAAACGUAAUGUUGAUAUUGUAAACGUGAUCGUGGAAGGGCGAAUCCAAAGCUGAAAUAUUUUGAAAAGUAUGCUUAUGUUCGUUGUUUGAUUAAGUUACAAUAAUUGGCACCUAAAUCAUUAAAGUUAUUUUAAGUUUGAAAAGGGUUAACAAAGGGUUUAGCCUGUUUCACACCUACGCUAAUCCCAGCCGGACGGCGGCUAAGUCCAGUUCAACAAUUCGCUUGACUGAGGCUAUUGACCGUGGCUCAAACAAUGCGAAGAGCGAGGUCGACGAUUCGCGGUGCGCGGGAGUGCAGCGUGACGGGAACGGCGUACGCGCAACGGAACCAUGCACGAGAGAAUCAAUCUAAUAAUGAAAUAUGUAAGUAACAUAAACUAUCAGUGCUCAACGUAGCCUCUACCUUGUUAUUUGCUUAUCUAAUAUAUUUGAUAAAUCCA